rnacentral:rRNA from 1 species
UACGGAGGGGGCUAGCGUUGUUCGGAAUUACUGGGCGUAAAGCGCACGUAGGCGGCUUUGUAAGUUAGAGGUGAAAGCCCGGGGCUCAACUCCGGAAUUGCCUUUAAGACUGCAUCGCUAGAAUUGUGGAGAGGUAAGUGGAAUUCCGAGUGUAGAGGUGAAAUUCGUAGAUAUUCGGAAGAACACCAGUGGCGAAGGCGACUUACUGGACACAUAUUGACGCUGAGGUGCGAAAGCGUGGGGAGCGAACCGG